rnacentral:rRNA from 1 species
UGUGUAGGCGGUGCUCUAAGUCUGUUGUGAAAUCUCCCGGCUCAACUGGGAGGGUGCGGCGGAAACUGGAGUGCUCGAGUGUGGGAGAGGUAAGCGGAAUUCCUGGUGUAGCGGUGAAAUGCGUAGAUAUCAGGAGGAACACCUGCGGUGUAGACAGCUUACUGGACCACGACUGACGCUGAGACACGAAAGCUGGGUAGCAAACA